AUUUGGUCCUCGUUCUUUUGAUUGUUACUUAUUUUAUUUGAAAUAAUUUAUGAAAUGUUAAUUAUUAUUAUUUUAAUUUCUUCAUCUUUCAUUUUUUUUUUAGAUUUGAUCUCUAUUAUUUUGAUUAUUAUUUAUUUUAUUUGAGAUAAUUUAUGAAAGUAUAUUUUUUUUCAAUUUCACUCUCAUUCAACUUUUUAAUUUGUAAGAUUUGUUCCUCAUUAUUUUAAUAAACUUGAGAAAAAUAAAACAUUAAUAAGUUAUUUUCUAUCUCAUUUUCCAUGAUAUAACCAAACACUGGAAAGUGUUUUCCAACUUAUUUUUUUAUUACACUGUCAAAUAUCAGAAAAUAAUUCACUUUUAUGAAAUUUGCUUUUCAAAAAAAAAAAUUUCAAGAAAUAAACAGGUCCAGUAAGAUGGAAUUCAUUUCUCGGAUAUAGCAGUAUUUUUUUGAGAUUAUUAUUAGAAAAAUAUUGAAGAGGGCCCGUCCUAGCUACUCUCCAACAACUACCAUAAUAAGGUGGAUAGGCAAGUCUCAGACCCUCUAUGUUAAUUACUGCCUAUAUGUAUUUUGGAGUCCCUUCCAAAUUCGCAGAAUUGUGUGUUCUUCUUCAUCCAAUCCUCAGCACAUAAGAGAUCAGCACUGCAGAAAUGGAUGCACCGUCACAGCAAGAGAUGUCAUACUAUGAUCACGUUAAGAGACGCCACGAGAACAAAGGCUGCCUCUAUGCCUUCUUCUUCGCUCUAUGUUGCUGCUGUUGCUGCAGUGAAACUUGUGAAUGCUGUGUGAAGUGUUGCUGCUGUGCUUAGAUCACCAGUCCAAGAAAUGGAAGUAGUAUGAAGAUGAAAGUAAUUCCAUAUUUUCCAUGUUCCGUAAUUUUCCAAUUGUGUGAAGUCUCAUCAGCUUGUUCGCUCUAUGUUGCUGCCGUGAAACUUGUGAGUGCUGUGUGCAGGGUUGCUGCUGUGCUUAGAUCACUAGUCCAGGAAAUGGAAGUAGUGUGAAGAUGAAUGUAAUUCCAUAUAUUUUCCAUGUUCCGUAAUUUUCCAAUUGUGUGAGUCUCAUCAGCAUGUAAAAAGUUGGUUCUUUUUCAUGUUAUUUCUUUGAAACAUUAGCUUCGUGAUCCA